AAACAGCAGCAGAAGGCAGCGACAGAGCAGAGACCAGCCAGGACUUAUUAUGUAGACAAGGCUAAAAUCAGUUCAUCAAAAACUAUCUUUUAGUCGAGUGAUGGAUUCCCUGCCCUAACACAACCGUGUUCGAUGGAAGAUAAAGAGUAUGAAGCUUUACCUGAGUGUCUAUGGGAAGCCAUGGCUCAGAGACCAAGUUCAGGAGCGGCACCUAGACCAGUCUUCCCUCGACCUCAGCUGAUAAGGCUGUGGCUCAUUUGUGAACAUACAUUUAAGGGGAAGCGGCUAACACAAAAAUAACCGAGAGCAGAUGGCCCACCCCUCCCCAGAGAUCACAACCUUAAUCCCACUAGAAAAUUCUUAACCAUUUUAGGUGAUCCGAGGGAGAAGAAUAGGACCCAGUAAAAAUACCAAACACUACAUAUAAAUACCUGUGGAGCUACUCAGCAUCCAAAUUAGCUCCAGAGCCAGAGAGGCCACAUAGAAAGUCAUCCCUGUACCGGAAUAAAAUUUGGACUCAGCUCUGGCAUAGCUUAACGCUGAGCCACCCUUAUUAAUCCACUUUAUAUGCCUAAACAGCUUCCUUCGGGCCCUACGAAGUGUUUUGUGCUGCUAAUGACAGAAAUAACCGUAAGAGACAGACUUAUAUUAACCGGUGUCAUUAAAAGGCGUUGGACACUAGGAAUAGAGAGGUCAGGGGCCCCGUCUACGUCCUCCUUGGUAUGUACCAGAGACCAGCAGAAUCCUGAAGGUGCGAUUCUAGCCACACAUCUCCUUCGUGUCAGAUGAGAGACAUACACAUAUACAGCCACCAAGUACACGAGGAGGAUACUUUUGUCCCACAAAUGAAAUCUGCUUUUCGGCAUCAGGGACAACAAAAGUAAAAAUACGGAUGAAAAGGAAGAGGGCAACCUAACGUGUCGUAACAGCUGGAGGAUGGCCUUAACUGUUGAAAAAUGAACUAAAAGAAGCAAAACGUGCCCAUCAAACCUCAACACGGCCCCAUCUGGAACUCAAAAGUGCCUUUGACCACUGAACAUCAAGGAAGGCAUCUGAAUGGCUGAGUUUUACAAUUCUUUUUAAAAAUAUUUAUUUUUGAGAGACACAUACACACACACACACACGCGCACGCCACGAGUGGGGGAGGGGCAGAGAGAGAGAGGAGGACAGAGGAUCAGAACCGAUGCAGGGCUCACAUUCAUGAACCGCGAGACCGUGAGCUGAGCCAAAGUCAGACGUUUAACCGACUGAGCCACGCAGGCGCCGAGUUUUACGAUUCUUACGUUCUCCAAACGUUUAAUGGAACAGUUAUUCCAACAGCUGAACUUGUAACUUCUCGUUAGCUGGAAAAUGACAGAACAAUAAAAGCCGGGAUGUUACAGGCAAAUUUAUCACGUGUUGGGUCCAGGAGUCGGUCGGGGACAAGAAGGGGGGGCGGCACUGUGCCCCCCAGCCCGCUCCGGCCCCUGUCUCAGCGGCCUGGCGAAAUGCUGCGGGGAGCCCGGCCACUUGGGAAACGGCCGCACCCCUGAAAUAAAGGUCAAUGUGUCUCCUGGCAGAUAUGCGUGUCUUGCGGGAGAUGAUGGACCGUUACGAACCGGAAACGAGAUUUUAGCGAGGUGCAGGACUAGCACGGGCGGGAGCCCGGCAGCGAGUCCGCCUGCGGCUGACGGCACCUCUGCCCCAGGUCGGCCCCGCCUUCCUUCUCGAACCUCAGGAGGCUUGACCCCGGCCUGCUGACACGCGUCCCCCCGCCGCCCACGGCCUCGAGUGCCAG